AUACAACUAGGGAAUGAAUGUCUCCCUUGGGAAACCUAAACCGCUUAUCGAGCUGAUGACUUCUGCAACCAC
rfam:Clostridium hiranonis DSM 13275 Scfld1 genomic scaffold, whole genome shotgun sequence.